UAGCUUGUUGGUAGGGUAAUGGCCUACCAAGGCUGUAAUGGGUAGCUGGUCUGAGAGGACGACCAGCCACAUUGGGACUGAGAUACGGCCCAGACUCCUACGGGAGGCAGCAGUGAGGAAUUUUGCGCAAUGGGGGAAACCCUGACGCAGCAACGCCGCGUGAGUGAGGAAGGCCUUCGGGUCGUAAAGCUCUGUCAGGUGGGAAGAAAUGUGUGACGGUCAAUACCCGUCAUGCUUGACGGUACCGCCAAAGGAAGCACCGGCAAACUCCGUGCCAGCAGCCGCGGUAAUACGGGGGGUGCAAGCGUUGUUCGGAAUUAUUGGGCGUAAAGAGCGUGUAGGCGGCUGGGUAAGUCAGAUGUGAAAGCCCUGGGCUCAACCCAGGACGUGCAUUUGAUACUGCUCAGCUAGAGUAAGAGAGAGGAAAGCGGAAUUCCUGGUGUAGAGGUGAAAUUCGUAGAUAUCAGGAGGAACACCGGUGGCGAAAGCGGCUUUCUGGCUCUAUACUGACGCUGAGACGCGAAAGCGUGGGUAGCAAACAGGAUUAGAUA
rnacentral:rRNA from 1 species